GUGCUCACUUCAGCAGCACAUAGACUAAAAGUGGAACAAUACAGAAAAGAUUAGCAUGGCCCCUGCACAAGGAUGACACACAAGUUUGUGAAGUGUUCCAUAUUUUU
ensembl:snRNA U6 U6 spliceosomal RNA